UACCAGUACGCUUAUCAAAAGCAGCUAAGAGGCAUAUUGGUUAUUUUAUAUUUCCUAAGAAUAAUCACUUACCUGGUUCUUUUGUGCAUUUCACAUUUUACUAGAUAGGACCACAUUUAACCUGUGUGGUGGUGAAAAACUACCACUUAUUAACAUCUACCCCCUCACCCUCCACACACACACACAAACACACAGACCGGUUGCAAAGUAGACACUUAAAUAGCAAGGGAAAAGAAAGCAUUGAGGUGGGGAGAGUUUCUCAAAUCGAGCCUAAUAUUUGUUGCAGUUUAUAUCUUUUUCUCUACUGGUAAUAUAUGCCAUAUGAAACUUCCAAUUAAGUCUAAAGUAAUUGUCCCCUUCUUUCAGCCUCCUUUUUAUAGCCGAAACACAGNUGAAAUGUAUGACAACAUUCUGAACAAGCCCCUCCAGUUGAAACCAAAUAUUACAAAUUCCGCAAGACACCUCCUGGAGGGCCUCCUGCAGAAGGACAGGACAAAGCGGCUCGGGGCCAAGGAUGACUUUGUGAGUGAUGUUUUCCUGUUCUCCUGGGCCAGCUGGGACGUGCACUAGACCUCCCUGCCCUUAUUGAAUGCACCUGUCUAAAUUAAUCUUGGGUUUCUUAUCAACAGAUGGAGAUUAAGAGUCAUGUCUUCUUCUCCCUAAUUAACUGGGAUGAUCUCAUUAAUAAGAAGAUUACUCCCCCUUUUAACCCAAAUGUGAGUGGGCCCAACGACCUGCGGCACUUUGACCCUGAGUUUACCGAAGAGCCUGUCCCCAACUCCAUUGGCAAGUCCCCUGACAGCGUCCUCGUCACAGCCAGCGUCAAGGAAGCUGCCGAGGCUUUCCUAGGCUUUUCCUAUGCGCCUCCCACGGACUCUUUCCUCUGAACACUGUUAGGGCUUGGUUUUAAAGGAUUUUAUGUGUGUUUCUGAAUGUUUUAGUUAGCCUUUUGGUGGAGCCGCCAGCCGACAGGACAUCUUACAAGAGAAUUUGCACAUCUCUGGAAGCUUAGCAAUCUUAUUGCACACUGUUCGCUGGAAGCUUUUUGAAGAGCACAUUCUCCUCAGUGAGCUCAUGAGGUUUUCAUUUUUAUUCUUCCUUCCAACGUGGUGCUAUCUCUGAAACGAGCGUUAGAGUGCCGCCUAGACAGAGGCAGGAGUUUCGUUAGAAAGCGGACGCUGUUCUAAAAAAGGUCUCCUGCAGAUCUGUCUGGGCUGUGAUGACGAAUAUUAUGAAAUGUGCCUUUUCUGAAGAGAUUGUGUUAGCUCCAAAGCUUUUCCUAUCGCAGUGUUUCAGUUCAUUUUCCCUCGUGGAUAUGCUGUGUGAACCAUCGUGUGAGUGUGGUAUGCCUGAUCACAGAUGGAUUUUGUUAUAAGCAUCAAUGUGACACUUGCAGGACACUACAACGUGGGACAUUGUUUGUUUCUUCCAUAUUUGGAAGAUAAAUUUAUGUGUAGACUUUUUUGUAAGAUAUGGUUAAUAACUAAAAUUUAUUGAAAUGGUCUUGCAAUGACUCGUAUUCAGAUGCUUAAAGAAAGCAUUGCUGCUACAAAUAUUUCUAUUUUUAGAAAGGGUUUUUAUGGACCAAUGCCCCAGUUGUCAGUCAGAGCCGUUGGUGUUUUUCAUUGUUUAAAAUGUCACCUGUAAAAUGGGCAUUAUUUAUGUUUUUUUUUUUUGCAUUCCUGAUAAUUGUAUGUAUUGUAUAAAGAACGUCUGUACAUUGGGUUAUAACACUAGUAUAUUUAAACUUACAGGCUUAUUUGUAAUGUAAACCACCAUUUUAAUGUACUGUAAUUAACAUGGUUAUAAUACGUACAAUCCUUCCCUCAUCCCAUCACACAACUUUUUUUGUGUGUGAUGAACUGAUUUUGGUUUGCAA
rnacentral:lncRNA from 1 species